AUUGAACGCUGGCGGCAGGCCUAACACAUGCAAGUCGAGCGAGCGGCGGACGGGUGAGUAAUGUCCGGGAAACUGCCUGAUGGAGGGGGAUAACUACUGGAAACGGUAGCUAAUACCGCAUACCAUCAGAUGUGCCCAGACGGGAUUAGCUAGUAGGUGGGGUAAUGGCUCACCUAGGCGACGAUCCCUAGAUGGUCUGAGAGGAUGACCAGCGACGCUGGAACUGAGACACGGUCCAGACUCCUACGGGGGGAAGCAGUAUGGAAUGUUGCACAAUGGGCGCAAGCCUGAUGCAGCCAUGCCGCGUGUGUGAAGAAGGCCUUCGGGUUAGAGAGCACUUUCAGCGGGGAGGCGUUACCCGCAGAAGAAGCACCGGCUAACUCCGUGCCAGAAGCCGCGGUGAUUC
rnacentral:rRNA from 1 species